ACCUGCGGAGGGAUCAUUGAAGGAAAAGGGCGCAAGCCCCCAUCCUCCAACCCUUUGUGAACAUACCUAUAAUCGUUGCCUCGGCGGUGCCGGGCCUGGCCCCCCCUCUCCCCACCGCGGGAGGGGGGAGCAGCCCGCCGGCGGCCUACCAAACUCUUGUUUCCGAGUGUAUCUUCUGAGUUAUAAGCUUCUAAAUAAGUAAAAACUUUCAGCAACGGAUCUCUUGGUUCUGGCAUCGAUGAAGAACGCAGCGAAAUGCGAUAAGUAAUGUGAAUUGCAGAAUUCAGUGAAUCAUCGAAUCUUUGAACGCACAUUGCGCCCGGUAGUAUUCUACCGGGCAUGCCUGUUCGAGCGUCAUUUCAACCCUCAAGCACUGCUUGGUGUUGGGGCGCUACCUCCCCCCGGCGGUAGGCCCCCAAAUCCAUUGGCGAGCCCGCCAGUGCCCCGAGCGUAGUAGUUUUCUCCUCGCUAUGGGCGUGCUGGCGGCGCGCAGCCACUAAGCCCUUCCGUCCGCGCCACCGCGCGGC
rnacentral:rRNA from 1 species